CUGAGAGAGGAGCUUGCUCUUCUUGGAUGAGUUGCGAACGGGUGAGUAACGCGUAGGUAACCUGCCUUGUAGCGGGGGAUAACUAUUGGAAACGAUAGCUAAUACCGCAUAACAAUGGAUGACACAUGUCAUUUAUUUGAAAGGGGCAAUUGCUCCACUACAAGAUGGACCUGCGUUGUAUUAGCUAGUAGGUGAGGUAAUGGCUCACCUAGGCGACGAUACAUAGCCGACCUGAGAGGGUGAUCGGCCACACUGGGACUGAGACACGGCCCAGACUCCUACGGGAGGCAGCAGUAGGGAAUCUUCGGCAAUGGGGGCAACCCUGACCGAGCAACGCCGCGUGAGUGAAGAAGGUUUUCGGAUCGUAAAGCUCUGUUGUAAGUCAAGAACGGGUGUGAGAGUGGAAAGUUCACACUGUGACGGUAGCUUACCAGAAAGGGACGGCUAACUACGUGCCAGCAGCCGCGGUAAUACGUAGGUCCCGAGCGUUGUCCGGAUUUAUUGGGCGUAAAGCGAGCGCAGGCGGUUUGAUAAGUCUGAAGUUAAAGGCUGUGGCUCAACCAUAGUUCGCUUUGGAAACUGUCAAACUUGAGUGCAGAAGGGGAGAGUGGAAUUCCAUGUGUAGCGGUGAAAUGCGUAGAUAUAUGGAGGAACACCGGUGGCGAAAGCGGCUCUCUGGUCUGUAACUGACGCUGAGGCUCGAAAGCGUGGGGAGCGAACAGGAUUAGAUACCCUGGUAGUCCACGCCGUAAACGAUGAGUGCUAGGUGUUGGAUCCUUUCCGGGAUUCAGUGCCGCAGCUAACGCAUUAAGCACUCCGCCUGGGGAGUACGACCGCAAGGUUGAAACUCAAAGGAAUUGACGGGGGCCCGCACAAGCGGUGGAGCAUGUGGUUUAAUUCGAAGCAACGCGAAGAACCUUACCAGGUCUUGACAUCCCGAUGCUAUUUCUAGAGAUAGAAAGUUACUUCGGUACAUCGGUGACAGGUGGUGCAUGGUUGUCGUCAGCUCGUGUCGUGAGAUGUUGGGUUAAGUCCCGCAACGAGCGCAACCCUUAUUGUUAGUUGCCAUCAUUCAGUUGGGCACUCUAGCGAGACUGCCGGUAAUAAACCGGAGGAAGGUGGGGAUGACGUCAAAUCAUCAUGCCCCUUAUGACCUGGGCUACACACGUGCUACAAUGGUUGGUACAACGAGUUGCGAGUCGGUGACGGCGAGCUAAUCUCUUAAAGCCAAUCUCAGUUCGGAUUGUAGGCUGCAACUCGCCUACAUGAAGUCGGAAUCGCUAGUAAUCGCGGAUCAGCACGCCGCGGUGAAUACGUUCCCGGGCCUUGUACACACCGCCCGUCACACCACGAGAGUUUGUAACACCCGAAGUCGGUGAGGUAACC
rnacentral:rRNA from 1 species